AGGACGAACGCUGGCGGCGUGCUUAACACAUGCAAGUCGAACGGAAAGGCCCGCUUGCGGGCACUCGAGUGGCGAACGGGUGAGUAACACGUGGGCAACCUGCCCUCAGCUUCGGGAUAACACUUGGAAACAGGUGCUAAUACCGGAUAAUAACUUUUCAUCGCAUGGUGGAUGGUUCAAAGUUUUUCGGCUGAGGAUGGGCCCGCGGCCUAUCAGCUUGUUGGUGGGGUAAUGGCCUACCAAGGCGACG
rnacentral:rRNA from 1 species